GUCUAAGUAAACAAGGGCGUUACAGUGAAACUGCAAAUGGCUCAUUAAAUUAGUUAGGGUUCCUUGGAUCGCUCCAAGCCUUACUUGGAUAACUGUGGUAAUUCUAGAGCUAAUACAUGCUGACGAGUGCUGACCUCCGGGGAUAUGUGCAUUUAUCAGACCAAAACCAACCCGGGCUUGCCCAGCUGCUUUGGUGACUCUAGAUAAUUUCGGGCCAAUCGCACACCUCCAUAGCAGCAACGAUGCAUUCGAAUGUCUGCCCUAUCAACUUCAAGAGAUGUCCCCAUGGGUACUUCACAUCUAAGGCUUCAUUUUG
rnacentral:ncRNA from 1 species